GUCCCGUUCGUCUAGAGGCCUAGGACACCGCCCUUUCACGGCGGCAACAGGGGUUCGAAUCCCCUACGGGAUGCCA
rnacentral:tRNA from 82 species